AGAGAGAUGGCUUAGUGGUUAAGCGCACUUACUGCUCUUAACUGAGGACCUGGGUUCAAUUCCCAGUAUCUA
rnacentral:tRNA from 1 species